rnacentral:rRNA from 1 species
CCUACGGGGGGCAGCAGUGGGGAAUAUUGCACAAUGGGCGCAAGCCUGAUGCAGCCAUGCCGCGUGUGUGAAGAAAGCCUUCGGGUUGUAAAGCACUUUCAGCGGGGAGGAAGGCGUUAAGGUUAAUAACCUUGGCGAUUGACGUUACCCGCAGAAGAAGCACCGGCUAACUCCGUGCCAGCAGCCGCGGUAAUACGGAGGGUGCAAGCGUUAAUCGGAAUUACUGGGCGUAAAGCGCACGCAGGCGGUCUGUCAAGUCGGAUGUGAAAUCCCCGGGCUCAACCUGGGAACUGCAUUCGAAACUGGCAGGCUAGAGUCUUGUAGAGGGGGGUAGAAUUCCAGGUGUAGCGGUGAAAUGCGUAGAGAUCUGGAGGAAUACCGGUGGCGAAGGCGGCCCCCUGGACAAAGACUGACGCUCAGGUGCGAAAGCGUGGGGAGCAAACAGGAUUAGAUACCCCUGUAGUC